rnacentral:rRNA from 1 species
AUUGAACGCUGGCGGCAUGCUUUACACAUGCAAGUCGAACGGUAACAGCACUUCGGUGGCUGACGAGUGGCGAACGGGUGAGUAAUACAUCGGAACGUGCCUAGUAGUGGGGGAUAACUACUCGAAAGAGUAGCUAAUACCGCAUGAGAUCUAAGGAUGAAAGCAGGGGACCUUCGGGCCUUGCGCUACUAGAGCGGCUGAUGGCAGAUUAGGUAGUUGGUGGGAUAAAAGCUUACCAAGCCGACGAUCUGUAGCUGGUCUGAGAGGACGACCAGCCACACUGGGACUGAGACACGGCCCAGACUCCUACGGGAGGCAGCUGUGGGGAAUUUUGGACAAUGGGCGCAAGCCUGAUCCAGCAAUGCCGCGUGCAGGAUGAAGGCCUUCGGGUUGUAAACUGCUUUUGUACGGAACGAAAAGCCCUCUUCUAAUACAGGAGGGUCAUGACGGUACCGUAAGAAUAAGCACCGGCUAACUACGUG